UCUAGAGAGACAAUCUGACCACAGCUGCUUUGCCGCACUAUGAAGGAAAACAAAAAGAUGCCUUAGUUCCAUGGAAGGCUGCUCUGAGGGAUAUUCUGCUAAGUGGCAUCCAGACAGAACACGGAGAAGCUCCUCGAUUGCGUCUCUCCCCUGCCUUAUUGUUUCCUGCUGCCCUUGACACUCCACUGUUUGGGCUAUUGCAAGGUUAGAAGGAUGCUCACGACCAACGAGACAGAGUCCUUUGCAUAUGGCCUUGAGGAUGUGUGCUUCUGAAAUCUAACAAGUAAGUAAUAAACAGGCAGUUCUCAGAGCAAGAGGCUAAGACUGCUGCUUCACUCGGAGGAAACAAAGCUUUUCAGGGGUGGGUUACAGGUUUCCACGUCGUGAGGCAAGCAUCACCUUUUAUCAAGAAAAUAUCCUGGUUAUUUCCUUCUAUGUUCAAUAGAGUAUAUUGAUUUAAGGUUUUAUAGGACUGCAUAAUUAUGUUUUAUCACAA
rnacentral:lncRNA from 1 species